rnacentral:rRNA from 1 species
GUAGGGGACGAGCGUUGUCCGGAUUCAUUGGGCGUAAAGCGCGCGUAGGCGGCUCGGAAAGUCGGUCGUGAAAUGCCGGGGCUCAACCCCGGGACUGCGUCCGAUACUUCCGGGCUGGAGGUAGUAGGGGAGAUCGGAAUUCCUGGUGUAGCGGUGAAAUGCGCAGAUAUCAGGAGGAACACCGGUGGCGAAGGCGGAUCUCUGGGCCUUACCUGACGCUGAGGCGCGAAAGCUAGGGGAGCGAACAGGAUUAGAUACCCUGGUAGUCCUAGCCGUAAACGUUGGGUGCUAGGUGUGGGCGGACAUCGACCCCGUCCGUGCCGAAGCUAACGCAUUAAGCACCCCGCCUGGGGAGUACGGCCGCAAGGCUAA